rnacentral:lncRNA from 1 species
UCUCUCCCUGGGUCUCAGAUCCCUGUUGACACUGCUUUCUCCAGCACUUUCCUCUCUCUCCCCCGUUUCUCACCAAAAAGUUUUGUGGGUAAAGUUUAGUUCAUUAUUUCUGCCAGAGACAGCUGAAGGUGUAGCCUUGACCAACUGAAAGGGAAAUCUUCAUCCUCUGAAAAAACAUAUGUGAUUCUCAAAAAACGCAUCUGGAAAAUUGAUAAAGAAGCGAUUCUGUAGAUUCUCCCAGCGCUGUUGGGCUCUCAAUUCCUUCUGUGAAGGACAACAUAUGGUGAUGGGGAAAUCAGAAGCUUUGAGACCCUCUACACCUGGAUAUGAAUCCCCCUUCUAAUACUUACCAGAAAUGAAGGGGAUACUCAGGGCAGAGUUCUGAAUCUCAAAACACUCUACUCUGGCAAAGGAAUGAAGUUAUUGGAGUGAUGACAGGAACACGGGAGAACAAUGCUCUGUUUGGGCUGGAUAUUUCUUUGGCUUGUUGCAGGAGAGCGAAUUAAAGGAUUUAAUAUUUCAGGUUGUUCCACAAAAAAACUCCUUUGGACAUAUUCUACAAGGAGUGAAGAGGAAUUUGUCUUAUU